UUACAAAAAAUAAAAGGAAGGACAUUGGUGCCAAAGUUUCCCGGCGAAGUCAGUCUGCUGGCACAAAUGAUAUAAAUACAGAGAUAGAAGAGCAGAGAGUGAAAAACAUUGCUGCUAUUACGGAUUUGAAGCUCCGACCUGCUGAAAAAUUGGUAGUUGAGAGGUUACAGGGGAAUUCUGGGUCCAUAAAGAGAAUGAAGUCACCAAUCACUGCUACUUCGUAUACCGUUGCUUCUCUCCAAACAGCAACAAAUAGCUUCAGUCAAGAGUUUAUAAUUGGUGAAGGUUCUCUUGGUCGUGUU
rnacentral:misc_RNA from 1 species